rnacentral:piRNA from 1 species
UGAAGACAUGCAAAACAGGGG